rnacentral:rRNA from 1 species
UACAGAGGUCUCAAGCGUUGUUCGGAUUCAUUGGGCGUAAAGGGUGCGUAGGCGGCGCGGUAAGUCGGGUGUGAAAUCUUGGAGCUUAACUCCGAAACUGCAUUCGAUACUGCCGUGCUUGAGGACUGGAGAGGAGACUGGAAUUUACGGUGUAGCGGUGAAAUGCGUAGAUAUCGCUAGGAACUCCGAUGGCGAAGGCAAGGUGCUGGACCCUUUCUGACGCUGAGGCGCGAAAGCCAGGGGAGCGAACGGG